GUUCAAUACAACCGAGGUCCGAAU
rnacentral:siRNA from 1 species